AAUGUCUAGUAUAGCAUUAUACCGUGAAACUGCGAAUGGCUCAUUAAAUCAGUUAUCGUUUAUUUGAUAGUACCUUACUACUUGGAUAACCGUGGUAAUUCUAGAGCUAAUACAUGCUGAAAACCCCAACUUCGGGAGGGGUGUAUUUAUUAGAUAAAAAACCAAUGCCCUUCGGGGCUUCUUGGUGAUUCAUGAUAACUUUACGGAUCGCAUGGCCUUGCGCCGGCGACGGUUCAUUCAAAUUUCUGCCCUAUCAACUUUCGAUGGUAAGGUAUUGGCUUACCAUGGUUUCAACGGGUAACGGGGAAUUAGGGUUCGAUUCCGGAGAGGGAGCCUGAGAAACGGCUACCACAUCCAAGGAAGGCAGCAGGCGCGCAAAUUACCCAAUCCCGACACGGGGAGGUAGUGACAAUAAAUACUGAUACAGGGCUCUUUUGGGUCUUGUAAUUGGAAUGAGUACAAUUUAAACCUCUUAACGAGGAACAAUUGGAGGGCAAGUCUGGUGCCAGCAGCCGCGGUAAUUCCAGCUCCAAUAGCGUAUAUUAAAGUUGUUGCAGUUAAAAAGCUCGUAGUUGAAACUUGGGUCUGGCUGGCAGGUCCGCCUCACCGCGUGUACUUGUCCGGCCGGGCCUUCCUUCUGGAGAACCUCAUGCUCUUCACUGGGCGUGUUGGGGACCAGGACUUUUACUUUGAAAAAAUUAGAGUGUUCAAAGCAGGCCUUUGCUCGAAUACGUUAGCAUGGAAUAAUAGAAUAGGACGUGCGGUCCUAUUUUUGUUGGUUUCUAGGACCGCCGUAAUGAUUAAUAGGGACAGUCGGGGGCAUCAGUAUUCAAUUGUCAGAGGUGAAAUUCUUGGAUUUAUUGAAGACUAACUACUGCGAAAGCAUUUGCCAAGGAUGUUUUCAUUAAUCAGUGAACGAAAGUUAGGGGAUCGAAGACGAUCAGAUACCGUCGUAGUCUUAACCGUAAACUAUGCCGACUAGGGAUCGGGCGAUGUUCUUUUUCUGACUCGCUCGGCACCUUACGAGAAAAUCAAAGGUUUUUGGGUUCUGGGGGGGGGAUAUGGUCGGCAAGGCUGA
rnacentral:rRNA from 1 species